rnacentral:rRNA from 1 species
CUUAAGCAUGCAAGUCGGACGGCAGGCUGCCUCGGGCAGCCGAGAGUGGCGAACGGGUGAGUAACACGUAAGUGAUCUGCCCUGCAGUUGGGGAUAGCCUGUGGAAACACAGGGUAAUACCGGAUGAGAUGUCAAUGAUUGAACUAUGACAUGAAAGUGGCCACGGCCACGCUGCAGGAUGAGCUUGCGGCUCAUUAGCUAGUUGGGGGUGUAACGGACCACCAAGGCAACGAUGAGUAGCCGGCCUGAGAGGGUGAACGGCCACAUUGGGACUGAGACACGGCCCAGACUCCUACGGGAGGCAGCAGCUAAGAAUAUUCCGCAAUGGGGGGAACCCUGACGGAGCGACGCCGCGUGAACGAUGAAGGCAGAGAUGUUGUAAAGUUCUUUUAUCACUGAAGAAUAAGGGGGGCAGGGAAUGGCCCUCUGAUGACGUUAGGUGAUGAAUAAGCCACGGCUAACUACGUGCCAGCCGCUGC